GGAGGGGUGCCGGAGCGGCCGAUCGGACCGGUCUUGAAAACCGGAGAUGGGGUAACUCAUCCGCGAGUUCAAAUCUCGCCCCCUCCGCCA
rnacentral:tRNA from 1 species